rnacentral:misc_RNA from 1 species
GGGUGCACAAGGCUAGAUACUCCAUUUACAUAACGCUAGAAAAGUUCAGUUGGGGACAAUCAUACAAGAGAGCAGGAGUGGAUUGACAAGUCUUUAAACUUUGAAGGAUCUAUUGAUGCCUGUCCAGAUCAAUUUGACCUCUUCCUUGCGUUCUGUCAAUACCAAGGGAAGUGAGGUCUCGAGAUGUUUCUGAGCUCCUGAAAUCCAUUUCCAGUUGCUUCUGCCUCAGUUGCAAUAUGCUUUGCUCAUUCUCUAGUCUCAUCCUCUCAUUUUCCAGCCUUAAUCUAUCAAACUCCCUAUCUUUCUUGCUGCAAUAUCUCAACCACUUGAAGCGUCUUUUCUCAAGCUCACCUGCUUGAGCCUGGAUGCUGACCCUCUGCUCAAGGAGCUGCAACUUCUGUUUCUUAAUCCACUCCUUUUUCUCCCACAAUGACACCAUAGGAUCUUGAAGAAUCCCAGACAUUUCGACCUCAAAGCCAUUGCACAAACCUGAUUGAGCCCAAAGAUGGUCAUCCUCUUCAUUUACUUUAUUCUUCUCAUACUUGCCCAUCCUCUCCCCAUCCUCAUAAGCAUUAAGGUCACUUUCAUUAUCUGAUUCAUCAUCAUCACUAUCAUCA